GUGCUUGCUUAAGCAGCAUAUAGACUAAAAUUGGAACGAUACAGAGAAGAUUAGCAUGGCCCCUGCACAAGGAUGACAUGCAAAUUCGGGAAGCAUUCCAAAGAAAA